GACGUAGGGCGCGAGCGUUGUCCGGAUUUAUUGGGCGUAAAGAGCUCGUAGGCGGCUUGUCGCGUCGAAUGUGAAAUCUCAGGGCUCAACUCUGACAUUGCAUUCGAUACGGGCAGGCUAGAGUUCGGUAGGGGAGACUGGAAUUCCUGGUGUAGCGGUGAAAUGCGCAGAUAUCAGGAGGAACACCGGUGGCGAAGGCGGGUCUCUGGGCCGAUACUGACGCUGAGGAGCGAAAGCGUGGGGAGCGAACAGGA
rnacentral:rRNA from 1 species